rnacentral:rRNA from 1 species
CCUACGGGAGGCAGCAGUGGGGAAUUUUGCGCAAUGGGGGAAACCCUGACGCAGCAACGCCGCGUGGAGGAUGAAGUCCCUUGGGACGUAAACUCCUUUCGACCGGGACGAUAAUGACGGUACCGGUGGAAGAAGCCCCGGCUAACUUCGUGCCAGCAGCCGCGGUAAU